rnacentral:tRNA from 2 species
GUUUUUAUAGUUGAAAUACAACGGUGGUUUUUCAGACCUCUAGUCUUGGUUGAAGUCCAGGUAAGAACU